rnacentral:rRNA from 1 species
UACAGAGGUCUCGAGCGUUGUUCGGAUUCAUUGGGCGUAAAGGGUGCGUAGGUGGCGCGCUAAGUCGGGUGUGAAAUUUCGGAGCUUAACUCCGAAACUGCAUUCGAUACUGGCGUGCUUGAGGACUGGAGAGGAGACUGGAAUUCAUGGUGUAGCAGUGAAAUGCGUAGAGAUCAUGAGGAAGACCAGUGGCGAAGGCGGGUCUCCGGACAGUUCCUGACACUGAGACACGAAGGCCAGGGGAGCAAACGGG